rnacentral:rRNA from 1 species
AAGAGCUCAGAUUUGAAAUCGUGCUUUGCGGCACGAGUUGUAGAUUGCAGGUUGGAGUCUGUGUGGAAGGCGGUGUCCAAGUCCCUUGGAACAGGGCGCCCAGGAGGGUGAGAGCCCCGUGGGAUGCCGGCGGAAGCAGUGAGGCCCUUCUGACGAGUCGAGUUGUUUGGGAAUGCAGCUCCAAGCGGGUGGUAAAUUCCAUCUAAGGCUAAAUACUGGCGAGAGACCGAUAGCGAACAAGUACUGUGAAGGAAAGAUGAAAAGCACUUUGAAAAGAGAGUGAAACAGCACGUGAAAUUGUUGAAAGGGAAGGGUAUUGCGCCCGACAUGGGGAUUGCGCACCGCUGCCUCUCGUGGGCGGCGCUCUGGGCUUUCCCUGGGCCAGCAUCGGUUCUUGCUGCAGGAGAAGGGGUUCUGGAACGUGGCUCUUCGGAGUGUUAUAGCCAGGGCCAGAUGCUGCGUGCGGGGACCGAGGACUGCGGCCGUGUAGGUCACGGAUGCUGGCAGAACGGCGCGACACCGCCCGUCUUGAAACACGGACC